rnacentral:lncRNA from 1 species
GGAAGCUUACCUUCCUCUCGCUUGUUUAAUGCAUUGGCUAGUUGACCCAUUUGGAAUUCUAGCUUAGCAAUUGAUUGCGUGUGAGAGUGCAAUAGUUGUGUGUUUGCCUCCAAACCUUGAAGGGCAGUCAACACUUUCUCCUCAAAGGCUGUAUUUCUUUGGAUUGGAGGAGGAGGGUGUUGAAAUUGAUUUGAGGGACGGUAGAGAUGAAAAUUCUGAGGGUUUUGAAAAUUUUGGGAGUAGGGUUGGGUAGUAUUCGAAGUAUGCUGCCUCCAAGAAAAAUUUGGAUGAUUCCGCCAUCCCGGAUUAUAUGUAUUGAAAAAUGGAUCAUUAUCCGGUCUGGGUUGUGUUUGAGCAGCAUUGAUGUGUUCUUACAUGAGUUCGAAGAAUUGGGGUGCUGAGGGGCACUCAUGAAUAGGAUGCGAUGGGCUAGAACAGAUAGCACAUACUUGUGCUUGGGAAGAGCUAACGACAUGUUCUCCUAUCAUUAGUUGGUCAAUCUUAUGGGACAAUGCAUCUACCUUGCUAGACAGGUCCAUAGAACGACUUAUUUCACAAAUGGCCCCUUUUCUUUGAAAAUUCGGGGGUGCUUGACGAGAACAUGAAGCAUGGUGGAG